CCUACGGGAGGCAGCAGUGGGGAAUAUUGGACAAUGGGGGGAACCCUGAUCCAGCGACGCCGCGUGAGUGAAGAAGUAUUUCGGUAUGUAAAGCUCUAUCAGCAGGGAAGAAAAUGACGGUACCUGACCAAGAAGCCCCGGCUAACUACGUGCCAGCAGCCGCGGUAAUACGUAGGGGGCAAGCGUUAUCCGGAUUUACUGGGUGUAAAGGGAGCGUAGACGGUGCAGCAAGUCUGGUGUGAAAGCCCGGGGCCCAACCCCGGGACUGCAUUGGAAACUGUUGAACUGGAGUACAGGAGGGGUAAGCGGAAUUCCUAGUGUAGCGGUGAAAUGCGUAGAUAUUAGGAGGAACACCAGUGGCGAAGGCGGCUUACUGGACUGUAACUGACGUUGAGGCUCGAAAGCGUGGGGAGCAAACAGGAUUAGAUACCCGGGUAGUC
rnacentral:rRNA from 1 species